rnacentral:rRNA from 1 species
UACGAAGGGGGCUAGCGUUGUUCGGAAUCACUGGGCGUAAAGCGCACGUAGGCGGAUCUUUAAGUCAGGGGUGAAAUCCCGAGGCUCAACCUCGGAACUGCCUUUGAUACUGGGGAUCUUGAGUCCGGGAGAGGUGAGUGGAACUGCGAGUGUAGAGGUGAAAUUCGUAGAUAUUCGCAAGAACACCCGUGGCUAAGGCGGUUCUCUAGUACGGUACUGACGCUGAGACGCGAAAGCGUGGGGAGCGAACAGG